rnacentral:rRNA from 1 species
CAGCCGUAAACUAUGCUCGCUAGGUGUCAGGGACGGUGCGACCGUUUCUGGUGCCGCAGGGAAGCCGUGAAGCGAGCCACCUGGGAAGUACGGUCGCAAGGCUGAAACUUAAAGGAAUUGGCGGGGGAGCACCGCAACGGGAGGAGCGUGCGGUUCAAUUGGAUUCAACGCCGAAAAACUCACCGGGACCGACAGCAACAUGAAGGCCAAGCUGAAGACUUUGCCGGAUUAGCUGAGAGGUGGUGCAUGGCGUAGUCGUGU